rnacentral:rRNA from 1 species
GGGGGGGGGGGGGGGGGGGGGGGGGGGGGGGGGGGGGGGGGGGGGCGGGGGGAGGGCUGGCGCGGACGGGUGGCGAGUGGCGGACGGGUGAGGAGUACAUCGGAGUCUACGUUUUCGGGGGGGAUAACGUAGGGAAACUUACGAUAAUACCGCAUACGACCUACGGGUGAAAGCCGGGGAUCUUCGGACCUUGCGCGAUUGAAUGAGCCGAUGUCGGAUUAGCUAGUUGGCGGGGUAAAGGCCCACCAAGGCGACGAUCCGUAGCUGGUCUGAGAGGAUGAUCAGCCACACUGGAACUGAGACACGGUCCAGACUCCUACGGGAGGCAGCAGUGGGGAAUAUUGGACAAUGGGCGCAAGCCUGAUCCAGCCAUACCGCGUGGGUGAAGAAGGCCUUCGGGUUGUAAAGCCCUUUUGUUGGGAAAGAAAAGCAGCAGGUUAAUACCCCGCUGUUCUGACGGUACCCAAAGAAUAAGCACCGGCUAACUUCGUG